rnacentral:tRNA from 1 species
AAUUAAAUAGGAUAAAAAUAAUGAACUUACCCUUGGUAAGGGUGGGGUCGAUAGUUCAAUUCUAUUCGGCGGCACCA